rnacentral:rRNA from 1 species
GACGAACGCUGGCGGCGCGCCUAACACAUGCAAGUCGAACGAGCGAGAGAGAGCUUGCUUUCUCGAGCGAGUGGCGAACGGGUGAGUAACGCGUGAGGAACCUGCCUCAAAGAGGGGGACAACAGUUGGAAACGACUGCUAAUACCGCAUAAGCCCACGACCCGGCAUCGGGUAGAGGGAAAAGGAGCAAUCCGCUUUGGGAUGGCCUCGCGUCCGAUUAGCUAGUUGGUGAGGUAACGGCCCACCAAGGCGACGAUCGGUAGCCGGACUGAGAGGUUGAACGGCCACAUUGGGACUGAGACACGGCCCAGACUCCUACGGGAGGCAGCAGUGGGGAAUAUUGCACAAUGGGGGAAACCCUGAUGCAGCGACGCCGCGUGGAGGAAGAAGGUCUUCGGAUUGUAAACUCCUGUUGUUGAGGAAGAUAAUGACGGUACUCAACAAGGAAGUGACGGCUAACUACGUG